UUCUAACCCGCACCACUUAUCGUGGUGGGAGACAGUGUCAGGCGGGCAGUUUGACUGGGGCGGUCGCCUCCUAAAAGGUAACGGAGGCGCUCAAAGGUUUCCUCAGAAUGGUUGGAAAUCAUUCAUAGAGUGUAAAGGCAUAAGGGAGCUUGACUGCGAGACCUACAAGUCGAGCAGGGUCGAAAGACGGACUUAGUGAUCCGGUGGUUCCGCAUGGAAGGGCCAUCGCUC
rnacentral:rRNA from 1 species